rnacentral:rRNA from 1 species
UACAGAGGUCUCAAGCGUUUGUUCGGAUUCAUUGGGCGUAAAGGGUGCGUAGGUGGCGCCGUAAGUCGGGUGUGAAAUUUCGGAGCUUAACUCCGAAACUGCAUUCGAUACUGCGGUGCUUGAGGACUGGAGAGGAGACUGGAAUUCAUGGUGUAGCAGUGAAAUGCGUAGAGAUCAUGAGGAAGACCAGUGGCGAAGGCGGGUCUCUGGACAGUUCCUGACGCUGAGGCACGAAGGCCAGGGGGAGCAAACGGGG